rnacentral:rRNA from 1 species
GUGGAGCGGUGAAAUGCGUUGAUAUCGGAAGGAACGCCAAAAGCGAAAGCAGUCAACUACAAUAAAUCUGACGGUUCAGAGACGAAAGCUUGGGGAGCAAACGGGAUUAGAUACCCCGGUAGUCCAAGCCGUAAAUUAUGCAUGCUAGGUGUCUUGUUCACUUUAUGUGAGCGGGGUGCCGUAAUCUAACGAGUUAAGCAUACCGCCUGGGUAGUAUAUUCGCAAGAAUGAAACUCAAAGGGAUAGGCGGGGGAACACACAAGCAGUGGAUUGUCUCGAUUAAUUGGAUAAUAAGCCAAGAAUCUUACCUAGACUUGACAUAUAUUGUGUCCUACGUGAAAGUGUAGUAAUCCCGAUUUUGUCGGGAUACGAUUAUACAGGUGGUGCAUGGUCGUCGUCAGCUCGUGCCGCAAGAUGUCCAGUUAAGUCUGGGAACGAGCGCAACCCUCGUUGUUAGUUAGAAGGUCUAACAAGACUGCUCCGGCAACGGAGAGGAAGGAGAGGAUGACGUCAGAUCAUCAUGCCCCUUACGUCUAGGGCUUCAUAGACAAUACAAUGGAUAGUACAGCGAGAAGCGAUGCCGCGAGGCUAAGCAAAUCUCACAAAGCUAUCCCUAGUUCGGAUUGCAGUCUGGAACUCGACUGCAUGAAGUCGGAAUUGCUAGUAAUGGCGGGUCAGCAUACCGCCGUGAAUAUGUCCCUGUUCAUUGCACUCACCGCCCGUCAAACCAUGGGAGUUGAG